rnacentral:rRNA from 1 species
GUCGUAACAAGGUUUCCGUAGGUGAACCUGCGGAAGGAUCAUUAUUGAAAUUAUAGGUGAGGGUUGUAGCUGGCCUCUCGGGGCAUGUGCACGCCCGAGCCCUUAAUCCACACACACCUGUGAACCUAUUGUAAGGGCCCUUAAAAAAGGCCUUUACGUCUUAUCAUCAACCCAUCGUAUGUCUCAUAGAAUGUAAAUAUAUGUCCUCGCCUUAAAAAGCGUUGAUAAACUUAUACAACUUUCAACAACGGAUCUCUUGGCUCUCGCAUCGAUGAAGAACGCAGCGAAAUGCGAUAAGUAAUGUGAAUUGCAGAUUUUCAGUGAAUCAUCGAAUCUUUGAACGCACCUUGCGCUCCUUGGUAUUCCGAGGAGCAUGCCUGUUUGAGUGUCAUUAAAUUCUCAACUCCGAUCGAUUUGUUUCGACUUCGGAGCUUGGAUUUGGAGCGUGCUGGCGUCGGUCGGCUCCUCUUAAAUGCAUCAGCGGAAUCUAACGUUUCGGAUGUCAGUGUGAUAAUCAUGUUGCGCUGUCUGUCUGAUCCGAAAGCCCGCUCACAAUGGUCUUCGGACAACUUCAUAUCAAAUUUGACCUCAAAUCAAUAGGACUACCCGCUGAACUUAAGCAUAUCAAUAAGCGGAGGA